rnacentral:rRNA from 1 species
ACGGAGGAUCCGAGCGUUAUCCGGAUUUAUUGGGUUUAAAGGGUGCGCAGGCGGGUAUAUAAGUCAGAGGUGAAAAACCACGGCUCAACUGUGGUCCUGCCUUUGAUACUGUAUGUCUAGAGUAUAGUUGGAGUGGGCGGAAUGUAGCAUGUAGCGGUGAAAUGCUUAGAUAUGCUACAGAACACCGAUCGUGAAGACAGCUCACUAAGCUAUAACUGACGCUCAGGCACGAAAGCAUGGGGAGCAAACAG